AGUGAACGCUGGCGGUAGGCCUAACACAUGCAAGUCGAACGGCAGCACAGUAAGAGCUUGCUCUUACGGGUGGCGAGUGGCGGACGGGUGAGGAAUACAUCGGAAUCUACUUUUUCGUGGGGGAUAACGUAGGGAAACUUACGCUAAUACCGCAUACGACCUACGGGUGAAAGCAGGGGAUCUUCGGACCUUGCGCGAUUGAAUGAGCCGAUGUCGGAUUAGCUAGUUGGCGGGGUAAAGGCCCACCAAGGCGACGAUCCGCAGCUGGUCUGAGAGGAUGAUCAGCCACACUGGAACUGAGACACGGUCCAGACUCCUACGGGAGGCAGCAGUGGGGAAUAUUGGACAAUGGGCGCAAGCCUGUUCCAGCCAUACCGCGUGGGUGAAGAAGGCCUUCGGGUUGUAAAGCCCUUUUGUUGGGAAAGAAAAGCAGCAGGUUAAUACCCCGCUGUUCUGACGGUACCCAAAGAAUAAGCACCGGCUAACUUCGUG
rnacentral:rRNA from 1 species